AAACUCCUCCCACAAAUUCAGACCUAUGGCCUUUUACAUAUAUAUAUAUAUAUAUAUAUAUAUACAUACAUACACACGCAUUAUAUGUGUGAGUGUGUGCAUAUAUAUGUAUGUAUAUAUAUAUAUAUAUAUAUAUAUAUAUGUGUGUAAAAGGCCAUAGGUCUGAAUUUGUGGGAGGAGUUU